AAAAAAAAAAGCAGAAGGUGCUUCCAAAUCGCUAUUGAUUCUGCUGCGUUCCUCAUGAUUUAUUUAUCAGGGGUCCGUGUUUCCCUUCCUUACGUUACGUGCCAUGACGGUAAAGCCUUAAUGGGUAUUCCAUGAAAUCGUUUUGUUCUGGCUCAUGUCAAGCAGCAGUCCAAAUCUGAGAUGUCAUAAGGAUGUCAUAAGGAUGUCAUAAGGAUGUCCUAAGGAUGUCCACUAGGCCUUGUUAUUCCUUUGUGUUUUUCUUUAUUGACUUUGAAAUGCAAUAGUAGCUUUAGUAUCAAGUGGUGUGUCACCUGCAUAACAAAUGAGCUUUUGUCCCCCACAGAGGACCGCGUGAAGGGCUUUGACUUUCAGUGGCUCAGGAACAUCCUACCUCAACUGGUUGUUCUGCCCUGUUGUUUGACCAAAGGAAAGGGUAUUUUGCAACUGUGUGUGUGUGUGUGUGUGUGUGUGUGUGUGUGUGUGUGUGUGUGUGUGUGUGUGUGUGUGUGUGUGUGUGUGUGUGUGUGUGUGUGUGUGUGUGUGUGUGUGUGUGUGUGUGUGUGUGUGUGUGUGUGUGUGUGUGUGCUACUUUCAUUUACCUUUAUUUUCUCACCCCAACCUCAUCAUGACAACUUCAUUGUACAGAAGUACUGUGCUUUGUUACUGCGCACAUUCGAUAAUAACACCUGUGGCACUUACGGGAGCAUGAGGUUUAAUGUGUAUAAUGCAUUGCAAAGAAUGUAUUAAAGAAUGCACACCCACUGGAGUGGAUGGUAGUGAACUGCCAUCGCCUGGGCAGCAGUUGAUGUCAGCGACCAUGAGAGGGUUCCAUUUCUAGAGAGGGUUAUGCUUUUUGGACCCUUGGAGUACAACGCCACGGUGUGUGUGUGUGUGUGUGUGUGUGUCUGUGUGGAGCUCCUGGCCAGCGGUUUUCGAGGUUCGCGUCAGAGAGGGUUAAGCUUCUUGAAUACAGUGUAACCGUCAGUGUUUGGCGCAUUCCAUGUACAACCUCGCUCGCCGCUCAAGCAACGAGGAGCACUGCUCAUGCUCUGUGUCCUGAGACCCUGUUCAUCUCUGUGUACAGGAGAUCAGCCUAGCUUUGGGAGAUAUUGAUGUUGACAGAGCUGGGAUGUUCGUCGUGUUUCAUGUUUGUUUCGCAGCGAUGUCAUGUUUAUAAAGGGUUUAAAAGUCUGAGAGCGGGGGGACUAGACUUUUCAGGGGUCACAAGUAAUGACGCAAGGCAUGUAACAAGGUUUUGAUUAUACAUCCUAUUUGUAGUUUACUCCGUAUUUACAUGUAAUUGUAUGGUAUGCGGGAUUCAGUCAGAGGCAAAAAAAACUCAGAAGACCCUGUUAACACACUAAUUGACUGAUAUCCUAAUAAUCGACUGAUAGAUUUAGAGAGAUCUAAGAAAGCCACACCAAACUCCUGCUAAUUAAUAGUACCUCAAAAUAAAUAAGGGAGAUCAGCCUUCAUAGAAAAUAAAUGUGGGAGAAACCCGUCACGCUCAUUAACCGAAAGCAUACCUCUCUGUGAGUGCAACACAGAGAGGUAUGGGGGCACCAGGCGGUCGUCAUAGAAACCGAGGAGGAGGAGGAGAGCAGCAUGGGAACCAGAUGAGCGGCAGCCAGGACCCCGGCUCCCAGCCCUACUCCCAGGGGCCCAUCCCCCAGGGUUACGUCAACAUGAGCCAGUGGAGGCAGCCGGGCCUGUCUGGCCUGUCCCCGUCUGGCCUGUCCCACCCCC
ensembl:lncRNA